rnacentral:lncRNA from 1 species
GGCGAGGCCUUGGGAUGACUGAGGUCACCUUUUUCCAGGCCAAGAGACCCACCAGAGGAGGACCUGCUCCCCAGGUCAUCACUGCCGCCAGGGCACUAGCCACCUCCCUAGGCCCUGUCCUCCAGGCGUGUCCAGUCCCUGGGAGGACCGAAGCCAGGCCCACAGCUGCCCACCAUGUCCUGCAGGAGCUGAGGUCACUCAUCCCAAUAAAGACAUCCAUGUGAGUGCAGGGGGGCCCUGCCCUCCAGGUCACUUCUGUCCAGUGGGCAUGGGGGUGCCCCUGCCAUGCCCUGUGGGCACCUUCUCAGAUCGGAUAUUUCUCUCCACGGCCUCUGAGUGCCUGUCCUGUCCCCCCGGCUAUUUCUGCGGUGCCUCUGGCCUGGCUGCGCCCUCCGGCCCCUGCUCCCCCGGCUACUUCUGUCUGGCAGGAGCCUCCUCCCCAACCCCGACAGGUAUGGAGCCCCCUGGGAGUGGGUGGGCCCUGUACCACCCAAUGCCCUGAAGUGGGGGCUCUGAUGGUUUGGCGCCGAUGGGCUGUGGGUGGUUUGAGGAC